AUUGAACGCUGGCGGCAGGCCUAACACAUGCAAGUCGAGCGAGCGACGGGCGGGUGAGUGAUGUAGGGGGGCUGCCAGAUAGAGGGGGCGGACUGCUGGAAACGGUAGCUCAUACCGCAUACAAUCGGAUAACCCAGAUGGGAUUAGCUAGUAGGUGAGGUAAUGGCUAACUGAGGCGACGAUCCCUAGCUGGUCUGAGAGGAUGAUCAACCACACUGGGACUGAGACACGGUCCAGACUCCUACGGAGGAAGCAUUGGGGAAUAUUGCACAAUGGGCGCAAGCCUGAUGCAGCCAUGCCGCGUGUAUGAAGAAGGCCCUAGGGUUGUAAAGUACUUUCAGUCGGGAGGCGUUACCGACAGAAGAAGCACCGGCUAACUCCGUGCCAGCAGCCGCGGUAAUAC
rnacentral:rRNA from 1 species